CCCGUGCGCACCGCAGCGCAGCGCAGCGGCCGGGGGGUGCGGGCGCCCUCGCCGCCCGGCUACCUACCGCCGCCUGGGCGCCGCCGCUGCCUCCCUUCCCCGCUUCUACCCUCCAGCAGACGCCCGCCGGAGCGACCCCUCCCAGGGUGACCGGGGGAAGGUGUUCCACGUGGCCAUAGCGUUUGCGUCACAAUGACCUGGCGGACAGGUGGGAGCCACAGCGUACACCCCAGGGUUCCCUCUGUGCUGUGCGUAGUGCCUACUGCUUGCUUCCAGGUUAAAUUUCUGUAGCUUUAGAGGACAGGAGACUUCAUGACUUCACUGCCAAGAAAAGUUACAGAGGCCUGCUGUACCUGGAAAUCAAGUUUGAGCUUCGAGAAUAAAGGUCAUGUUUUAAAAACAGCUGUGUAUGUAUAGUGCCGAUGUUCAAGCCUCUUCCCA
rnacentral:lncRNA from 1 species